UACAGAGGUCUCAAGCGUUGUUCGGAUUCAUUGGGCGUAAAGGGUGUGUAGGUGGCGCGCUAAGUCGGGUGUGAAAUUUCGGAGCUUAACUCCGAAACUGCAUUCGAUACUGGCGUGCUUGAGGACUGGAGAGGAGACUGGAAUUCAUGGUGUAGCGGUGAAAUGCGUAGAUAUCAGGAGGAACACCUGUGGUGUAGACAGCUUGCUGGACCAUAACUGACGCUGAGGCACGAAAGCGUGGGUAGCAAACAGG
rnacentral:rRNA from 1 species